rnacentral:misc_RNA from 1 species
GGUCGGCUCUUUUCAACAACUUCCACCUGACAUCCCUAUUCAAUCGUCCGUUAAGGCUUCGAUUGCCUGAACAAACUGUGGGUUUCCUGUGUUGCCUACCUAACAUAAUGGCAUUGAUUUGGCUUAUCUAGGUUCUGUUCAUCUUUCGUCAUGUUUAUGACACCUGAUGAACCCUAACCCUGUCUCUUUGAACCACGUCAUUAAUGCUUGUGUUGAUGUAGUGGAGCAUUGAGCCUUGCUUGGUCUCUUUGAUGUAGUACCUGAUGUGGGCAUGGGUCUCAUGGGAUCCUUGUUAUGUCCCUGUUUAGUGUUUACGCUCCCUAAAAUGACUGCUUGACACGUGUUGGCUCGUAACAGCGUGUUGGGCUUUGUCCGAGGAAAGUUACCUGGUUGAUCCUGCCAGUAGUCAUAUGCUUGUCUCAAAGAUUAAGCCAUGC